rnacentral:rRNA from 1 species
AUUAAACUGAAGAGUUUGAUCAUGGCUCAGAUUGAACGCUGGCGGCAGGCUUAACACAUGCAAGUCGAGCGGAGAUAGUGUGCUUGCACACUAUUUUAGCGGCGAACGGGUGAGUAAUGCCUAGGAAUCUGCCCAUUAGCGGGGGACAACGUGUGGAAACGCACGCUAAUACCGCAUACGCCCUACGGGGGAAAGCAGGGGACUCUUUUAGAGCCUUGCACUAAUGGAUGAGCCUAGGUCGGAUUAGCUAGUUGGUGGGGUAAAGGCCUACCAAGGCGACGAUCUGUAGCGGGUCUGAGAGGAUGAUCCGCCACACUGGAACUGAGACACGGUCCAGACUCCUACGGGAGGCAGCAGUGGGGAAUAUUGGACAAUGGGCGCAAGCCUGAUCCAGCCAUGCCGCGUGUGUGAAGAAGGCCUUUUGGUUGUAAAGCACUUUAAGCGAGGAGGAGGCUACUGGUACUAAUAUUACCAGCUAGUGGACGUUACUCGCAGAAUAAGCACCGGCUAACUCUGUGCCAGCAGCCGCGGUAAUACAGAGGGUGCGAGCGUUAAUCGGAAUUACUGGGCGUAAAGCGCGCGUAGGCGGUUUGUUAAGUCGGAUGUGAAAUCCCCGGGCUCAACCUGGGAAUUGCAUUCGAUACUGGCAAGCUAGAGUAUGGGAGAGGAAGGUAGAAUUCCAGGUGUAGCGGUGAAAUGCGUAGAGAUCUGGAGGAAUACCGAUGGCGAAGGCAGCCUUCUGGCCUAAUACUGACGCUGAGGUGCGAAAGCAUGGGGAGCAAACAGGAUUAGAUACCCUGGUAGUCCAUGCCGUAAACGAUGUCAACUAGCCGUUGGGGGAUUUGAUCCUUUAGUGGCGCAGCUAACGCGAUAAGUUGACCGCCUGGGGAGUACGGUCGCAAGACUAAAACUCAAAUGAAUUGACGGGGGCCCGCACAAGCGGUGGAGCAUGUGGUUUAAUUCGAUGCAACGCGAAGAACCUUACCUGGUCUUGAC